rnacentral:SRP_RNA from 1 species
UGUCAGGGGCCACGGAAUGUCGGCACGCAAACCCCGCCAGGUCCUGACGGAAGCAACGGUAGCAUGUCCUGCAUUGCCGUGGUUCUCUGGCAGCG